rnacentral:lncRNA from 1 species
UCCUGGCAAAUUUUAAAGAUGACUAACCUAAAGAAAUACAAAGAAAUAGGAAAGAAAUAGGACAAAUGUAAUGCAGGUAUCUUAAAAAUCAUGAAGGUUGAACACAAAUGGUGUUCAGCAAACACUGUCAUAGUGAAUAACAACAUGUAAACAUGUUUGCAAGGCCGAAUAAUGAAGGCUAAUAUCUAUGCUAGGCAAAAUGGAAGAUAGAUAUAGGAGUGAUCAACUUUUUUUGCCCUAAAAGGCAAAAAAAAAAAAAAAAUGGAAUAGUCAUUAUAACUAUUGUCUCAUUGAAGACUUCAUUUUCUUUCUUCUUUUUUGGCUACACUGCAGCAUAUAGAGUUCCUGGGCCAGAUCUGAGCCACAGUUACAACCUAUGCCACAGCUGCACAAAGCCAGAUCCUUUUAACACACUGUGCCAGCCCUGGAUUGAACCUUCAUCCUGUCACUGCAGAGACACCACUGAUCUUGUUGCACCACAGUGGGGACUCCUAGAAAACUAUUUUUAAGGACAAAAAUGUUCUGUUGGCUUUUCUGCCUCUAUGUUCUGAAUAGGAAUUUUUUUUUUAAUUUUGUUGAUAAAUGAUAUGAUGAGAAAAAAAAAAAAGCAUAAAGAACUUUACAUAUUAGAACUUCAAAGCAAGUCCUAAAGAGCCCUGCACUGUGAUUGUUUCUUCCUGAGAUGCCCAGAUUGGUCCCUGGAGCUAGUUUCUGUGGGCUAAGUUAAUGUUUAUUAGAGGAUGAAGACUCUGAACUCUGGCUCAGAUUUAAUGCAGAAACCCAGCUCAAGCUGGAACCACACAGCCCAGACUUUUAAGUCCAGAAAAACAACUUCACUCACAGGGUCUUAUUGUUCUUAUCUUUUAAAAGAGGGAUGGCAGCACCUCCUGGGUGAUGAAAUGCCUGCAGGGAACUUAGCACAGUGCCUGACACAGAAGCCCUGCUUAGUAAUUGCUGGCUAUUGCUGUUAGUAAUGUUCAUGCUGAAUAAAGCCCAGGAGUUUCACCUGAGUUCUGGAAGCUGGACUGCUUACUCCAAUGAAGGCUGCAGCAAUUUUUGCAGUGGCAGAAAGCAGGAGAGGAAGAAACUCUGUGAUUGGACUUUGGCUCCGAAAUGAUAUAAAGCAAACAAAACAACAACAACAACAAAAUCAGUUCUUUAAGUAUAGGAGAAAGAUUUUUACCAUUUUCGGUCCUAAGCAGUCCUAUAAGAUAAUGUACUGGAAGGUGAGGCAAUAUCGUUUCAUGCUUUCCCCAUGAAUGGCAGUCUCACUUACAAAUUACUGUACUCCCCUGGAGAGUAAUUGAUCACUGUUGUUGCUUCUGCUAGCCUCUGCUCUUCACUAUUAAAAAACAAAAUUAGGAGUUCCUGUUGUGGCUCAUCAGGUAAAGAACCUGACAGAGUGUCCAUGAGAAUGCACAUUCAAUCCCUGGCCUUGUUCAGUGGGUUAAGGAUCUGGCAUUGCUGCAAGCUAUGGCAUAGGUUGCCGACGCAGCUCAGAUCCAGUGUGUACAUGGCUGUGGACCACUGCUGUAGCUCUGAUUCAACCCCUAGCCUGGGAACCUCCAUAUACCACAGUUGCAGCCUUUUUUAAGGAAAAAAAAAAAAGCAAAAUUGGAUGAGUCAAGGUUAUGUUAUUAAAUUAAAUUCAACAUACAUUCCUGAAGAAAGAUAUAUGUGUCAACAGCUAAUUCUAACACCAAGCACAACGUGAUACACUCUAUAACUCAGGGACUACAGGUGGGGGAACCACUAAUGUUUUCUGAUGAAAGAGGCAACAAUUGGGUGAAAACUUAAAAGACAAAUAGGAUAUCAACAGGUAGAGAGAGACAGAGAGGCUUUCCAGAAAGAAGGAUCAGCAUGGGCAAAAGCCCAGACAUGGUUGUAUAGGGGAGAGGGGAACAGAACUACACUGAAUUGUCAAGGAGUAAGCCCAGAAAAGUGAUUGGUUUCCAGAUCAAAGGAUCAUGGUAAUAGAUGGUAGGGGUUCAGGAGACAACUUCAGUAUAUCUAAAUAGAGGUCACGUAUUCCACUCUCUUCAUUCUCCUUGUGCCAAGCCUGACCUGUUCAAGUUGUCGGUAUACUUUUGUCCCAGAAGGUUGUAGGCUCAAGAGCAGGAAGUGUCUUAUUCUUCUCCAUCUGGGCACAGGAGAGACUACUUAAAUAGGCCUGUGUGGCACAGGCAAUGAAUCGUCCACUCUCAGACAAUUGCAAGUAGCUUCACCUUCACUUUUCCUCUAGAAUCAUUAAUAGUGAAUAUUGGUUUGUUUCAGUAUUGACUCCAAACAAUGCAAAUAUAUAAUAUCCCACUCCUUCCCCUUCCAAGUUGACCAAGUCUACUUACUCUUAUCUGGACUAUUUCAGUAUCCUCCUACAUAACAUGAGCCCCUACCUACCAGCAGCACCCUCAGAAAGCAGAGAAGCUUAUAUGCAUAAGUACGUAUUGGAAUAUGAUCUUGGAGAAGAAGCAUGUGGCACUAGGAAGGACAAAGCAGGAAGUGAAGGUUAGCCAGUGUAGAUCAGUUCUGCUAAGCCCAUUUGAGGAGCCAUUUAGAAUAUACCUUAACUCAUUCCAGCCAAAGGACAUAAAAAGCAAUUUGUCUUUAGUCUCCUGUUGUUCAAAGAUCACCCCAUGGGUUUGUUAACUGCCUCACACAUUCAGGUCAUACCCAGGCAUACUUUGUGGAUCUUACACACUUCAUAAGAAGCACUGAGGAAAAGAGGAAAUAUAUGUAGCUAUAGGCAAGGUAAAGCACUGGCUAUUUAUACCUCAGAGGGGCUAGAUGCUGCAACAAUAGCUAGAGAAAGAAGUGAGCUGAGGAUGCAAGGUUAAGUUACCUGGUAUGGUGUCCAAAUAUGCCUGCUAACUAUUCUCUUUACUCCCAGGAUAAAGUCCAAAACGGUCAACCUGGUAUGUAAGGCCCCUGAUUCAUGAGGCCCCAUCUAUAUCAUUGGCACUUCCCAUGUCACUUCUCCCCACUGACUAGGCACAUGGCAUUUCUCCAGAGAAAUCGCUUUGUUUCAUCAAAGCUGGUAUUAUUGCUUAAGUGGUCUUCCCUCUAUAUGGAACUAUUCUAGACAGAAUUUCAUUAAUAUCAAAUAGUACCUCCAGAGUGAAACCUUCCCU